GAGCACUGUUUCGGCAAGGGGGUCAUCCCGACUUACCAACCCGAUGCAAACUGCGAAUACCGGAGAAUGUUAUCACGGGAGACACACGGCGGGUGCUAACGUCCGUCGUGAAGAGGGAAACAACCCAGACCGCCAGCUAAGGUCCCAAAGUCAUGGUUAAGUGGGAAACGAUGUGGGAAGGCCCAGACAGCCAGGAUGUUGGCUUAGAAGCAGCCAUCAUUUAAAGAAAGCGUAAUAGCUCACUGGUCGAGUCGGCCUGCGCGGAAGAUGUAACGGGGCUAAACCAUGCACCGAAGCUGCGGCAGCGACGCUGAUGCGUUGUUGGGUAGGGGAGCGUUCUGUAAGCCUGUGAAGGUGUGCUGUGAGGCAUGCUGGAGGUAUCAGAAGUGCGAAUGCUGACAUAAGUAACGAUAAAGCGGGUGAAAAGCCCGCUCGCCGGAAGACCAAGGGUUCCUGUCCAACGUUAAUCGGGGCAGGGUGAGUCGACCCCUAAGGCGAGGCCGAAAGGCGUAGUCGAUGGGAAACAGGUUAAUAUUCCUGUACUUGGUGUUACUGCGAAGGGGGGACGGAGAAGGCUAUGUUGGCCGGGCGACGGUUGUCCCGGUUUAAGCGUGUAGGCUGGUUUUCCAGGCAAAUCCGGAAAACUAAGGCUGAGGCGUGAUGACGAGGCACUACGGUGCUGAAGCAACAAAUGCCCUGCUUCCAGGAAAAGCCUCUAAGCAUCAGGUAACAUCAAAUCGUACCCCAAACCGACACAGGUGGUCAGGUAGAGAAUACCAAGGCGCUUGAGAGAACUCGGGUGAAGGAACUAGGCAAAAUGGUGCCGUAACUUCGGGAGAAGGCACGCUGAUAUGUAGGUGAAGUCCCUCGCGGAUGGAGCUGAAAUCAGUCGAAGAUACCAGCUGGCUGCAACUGUUUAUUAAAAACACAGCACUGUGCAAACACGAAAGUGGACGUAUACGGUGUGACGCCUGCCCGGUGCCGGAAGGUUAAUUGAUGGGGUCAGCGCAAGCGAAGCUCUUGAUCGAAGCCCCGGUAAACGGCGGCCGUAACUAUAACGGUCCUAAGGUAGCGAAAUUCCUUGUCGGGUAAGUUCCGACCUGCACGAAUGGCGUAAUGAUGGCCAGGCUGUCUCCACCCGAGACUCAGUGAAAUUGAACUCGCUGUGAAGAUGCAGUGUACCCGCGGCAAGACGGAAAGACCCCGUGAACCUUUACUAUAGCUUGACACUGAACAUUGAGCCUUGAUGUGUAGGAUAGGUGGGAGGCUUUGAAGUGUGGACGCCAGUCUGCAUGGAGCCGACCUUGAAAUACCACCCUUUAAUGUUUGAUGUUCUAACGUUGACCCGUAAUCCGGGUUGCGGACAGUGUCUGGUGGGUAGUUUGACUGGGGCGGUCUCCUCCUAAAGAGUAACGGAGGAGCACGAAGGUUGGCUAAUCCUGGUCGGACAUCAGGAGGUUAGUGCAAUGGCAUAAGCCAGCUUGACUGCGAGCGUGACGGCGCGAGCAGGUGCGAAAGCAGGUCAUAGUGAUCCGGUGGUUCUGAAUGGAAGGGCCAUCGCUCAACGGAUAAAAGGUACUCCGGGGAUAACAGGCUGAUACCGCCCAAGAGUUCAUAUCGACGGCGGUGUUUGGCACCUCGAUGUCGGCUCAUCACAUCCUGGGGCUGAAGUAGGUCCCAAGGGUAUGGCUGUUCGCCAUUUAAAGUGGUACGCGAGCUGGGUUUAGAACGUCGUGAGACAGUUCGGUCCCUAUCUGCCGUGGGCGCUGGAGAACUGAGGGGGGCUGCUCCUAGUACGAGAGGACCGGAGUGGACGCAUCACUGGUGUUCGGGUUGUCAUGCCAAUGGCACUGCCCGGUAGCUAAAUGCGGAAGAGAUAAGUGCUGAAAGCAUCUAAGCACGAAACUUGCCCCGAGAUGAGUUCUCCCUGACUCCUUGAGAGUCCUGAAGGAACGUUGAAGACGACGACGUUGAUAGGCCGGGUGUGUAAGCGCAGCGAUGCGUUGAGCUAACCGGUACUAAUGAACCGUGAGGCUUAACCUU
rnacentral:rRNA from 1 species